CUCAUUUUGUAUAUAUAUAAGUUAUGAUAUGGGUUACUACUUGUAGUAUUGCCUGUACAUUCUUGUAUAUUUGAAUGCAAUAUGUUGUCGGCGUGCACUUCUCCCCUAGUAGGACGUCGCGACCCGUUGAGUGUCGGUCUACGGCCCAAGUGGUAGCCUUUGAUUUUUAUAAAUUAAAGACCCUUGGUGUUUCCUGGCUGGCUACUCGGCGGUAUUCGUACGGUAUUAAGCCGCAUUUAUGCGUUCAUAUCCGUCGCAAGCGCGAUCAAUUUUUGGUAGUACGGACCUAGUCUCGUCGUCAUAAUUGAUCAGCUGUUGGUUGUACGGUAUUCUAGAACUGGCUUAUAUACCGGUCAGCGAUGCGUUCAGCUUUGGGUACUUUUCAGGACC
rnacentral:rRNA from 1 species